GGGGCCCAGUGGCGGAGACUUCCGGGGGUGGGGUGGGGACCAGCCAGGGCCCUAAAAGGCCCUGGUCCCACUGGCUGUGGCUGGGGUCCUGGCCUUGAAAGGAAGCGUCUCUGAGCGGCGCCUAGGGCUCUUGGUGAAUGAAAUGCCGACCUGGAUUUAUGGGGUCUGGAGGAAGUGCUGCUCUCUCGCUCCUGUGGCCCCUGCGUCUGAACGAGUCGCUUCCCGCUGGGAAUGGCGCGCCCCUGGGGGGCAGACGGAGGCUCUCCCGGGAUUGCUCUGGCCGCCGUCUUGGUCUGUUCCUGCUGCUAUCACAAAAUCCUGACACCAGAGUGGAUUCUGCCAUCUGAGAAGAUCACCGGUCACGCAGGGAUUGUCACACAGCACUGUCUUCGGCUUCCUUGAGCCUCCAGCCUCCUACUGUCCUCCUGGUGGCUCCAGCAGGCUGUGCGGUGAGACGGUCCCCACCGCUGGUCCCAGCCUCCUUCCUCUCUGGUGCCCUCCCUCCCUGCACGCUCUUACCCUGUCCAUGGCUGCAGUCCGCACCUACGAAAAAUAAAGCACAGGUCUUUGGCUGUGACCCUUGCCAGGAGUGAGAACAGAUGUUACCAGUUCUCCCAUACGUGGUCUGUUUCACUGCUUUCGCUUCCUGCGCCUUUUGAUGAACAGAGAAAUUUCACACCCCCAAAGGGGAAGCCGAACCCUUCCGACGGGGAAUCGCUGUCGCCUGCCUACCUCCAGAGCCUGGAAGAUGAUUCACAUGCAUUUUCCCCUGCACCUGGACCUUCACUGGGACAUGGAUUGAAAGACUCUUAGGGAAACAUCUACCAACUGCAACACAUAACACUUAGGUGGAUCCUAAUUCAAUCUGUCAAGGAAAAAAUUAUGAGAUAAUGGGAAAAUUUGAACCUGGUUAAAUAUUUUAUAAUGUUAAGGAAUUGUUAAUUG